AUACAGGUUAUGGCCAUAUAUCACUUUAUCGUAUGAUAUUCUAAAUUUAUCACAUGUCCCUACCUUGGCCCUUCAGUUAUGGGCUGAAUGUUUGUGUCUCCUCAAAAUUCCUGUGUUGAAGCCCUACUACUCAAUGUGGCCAUAUUUGGAAAUGGGGCCCUCUAAGAAUCACCUGCACAAAGAAGAGGUCCAUGUGAGCACACAGCAAGAUGGCAGCCAUCGGUAAGCCAAGAGACA